CUGUCCUGAGACAGGAAGAGCUGAAGCACUUACUGAAGAGGUCCAGCUGUGAGUCUUUCCUCUUGUCCCUUGUUGGAGACAUCACCCAGAGUGGGUGAGUGGGCUGUGUGCACAGGACUUCCUGAGGAAGAGCCAAGUCAAAGAGAUGAGGCUGUAUCCCGUACCCAAAAUGGCUGUACCCCUGAUUUGCCGAUGCUUGGAACAACAAUCAAAUGAUUGAUCCAUUUUACUACACAUCCAUAGCGUCUUUCGAGCCACACAUCCCUGAAGUCUCUGUAUAUAAUGCUACAGUUGCAGCUGAAUUUUGUGAUGACAGGUUUUUAUUUUUAAGGGAGAAGAAAGAGGCUCUUCGCUUUCAAGCAGCUUGUAAAAAGACUGAUGACAUUCAUUCCACUAAUAAGCUGGCAAUUAAGAAAAAGUCCCAGAUUUCUCAAAGAGACGUAUUUUUCAACGGGAGCUAGUCAAGAUGUUGAUGAGGUUUUGUUUUUUGUUUUUAAAUGGGAUGUUCUGUCUCUUAGCAGAAAAAGGGCUGCUAAACUGGUGUUGUAAGUCUGCCCU